UGUAAGGAAAGGCUGUCAAUGUAUUAAUGGCAUUUUUAAUUGCACUUUAUAUUUGACAUAAGAACAGUUGUCUCCUUUUUCUUGUUCAAUGCUUUAUACCCAACCUCUGAAAUAUGGACAGGACUGUAGAUUGCUGUCUUGUAUAUACUUAUACUUGUCUGGCUGAGUGAUCCCUGACUUUUCAAUGUCCUCCCCUUGAUUGUGGAUAGGACCUAUGACUUGCUUCUAAUCAACAGAAGAUGGCAAAAGUGAUGAAACAUUAUUUCCAUGAUUAUAUUGCAGGUUGUUACUUUCAUUAUACUAGCCAACUCUUACCUAUUGACUCUCCCAUGCUGGCUAUCGUGAAAGAAGCUGCCAUAUGAAGAGAUCCACAUGAUGCCACCACUGCUUGGAGCUGCAUGCCACCAGCUAUGGUCAAUCCCACUGUGUUUAACAUCGUGGCCUGUGACGGAGUUUCGCUCUCAUUACCCAGGCUGGAGUGCAAUGGCGUGAUCUCGGCUCACCGCAACCUCUGCCUCCAGGGUUCAGGCAAUUCUCCCGCCUCAGCCUCCCGAGUAGCUGGGAUUACAGGUACGCACCACCAUGCCCAGCUAAUUUUUUGAAUUUUUAGUAGAGAUGGGGUUUCACCAUGUUGACCAGGAUGGUCUCAAUCUCUUGACCUCGUGAUCCACUCGCCUCGGCCUCCCGAAGUGCUGGGAUUACAGGCGUGAGCCACUGCACCCGGCCC
rnacentral:lncRNA from 13 species